GAUCAUAGGGAGUUUAUAAACACGAGUAUCUACCACCUUCCCCCACCAUUGUGAUUUGGGGGUAGAGGUUGGAUUUCAGAGGUUGAGACUUGGUGUGAGGAGACCCCAAUAGGUGUCCUGCAUAGAAGGAUAAUUCAUGAAAACAGGAGCAGAAUCAUUCUCUUACCUCAGAUAUUUGAAAGCAAACAUCCCAAGCACAUCUUACCCUUUUGGCUGUUGGAGUCACAGGCCUUCAGUUCUCUGAAUACAAGAAGAAUCUUCACAAUUGACAGCUUAGCAUGCUUUUUCACACUGACAAGGAAACCUGUGAGAGGAUUCAGAAGUCCAUGUCCUUGGGUGCUGCUUACCUUGGGCCACACACCUGCAUACUUUGGAGUUCAAGACUUCUGCUCUGAUAGCAGUAGAGAGUUU